GUCAGACAUGACUGAAGUGAUUUAGCAGCAGCAGCAAUGGGGAAAAGCUAGCAGCCCAACGUGAAGGACUCAGGGCAAGGACACCUUCAGAACCAGCAGCCAUCAGCCCAAAGAGUGCCCCUGGACUCAGGCCCUGCCAUUCUGCCCCUGAAUGCUGUUCCUGCCCACACCACUUAAAGAUGUGGACCUGAACCCCCGAGAGACCUCAGGAGGACUGGGCCCUCUUGUCGAACAGCCUUUCAGGCAAACUUUCAUCUCUAGUUAUGGCUGAAUAUAGUACUCCACUAAGUGUAUAUAGCAUAUUUUGCUUAUAAAUUCAUCCAGCAACAGAAUUUGGGUUGUUUCUGUCUUUUGGCUAUGGCAAAUAAUGCUGCUAUGAACAUUGGUGUACAAAUAUCUGUUUGAGUUCCUGCUUUCGACUCUUUGGGGUACAUACCCAGAAGUGAAGUUGCUAGAUCAGAUGGUAAUUCUCUGUUUAAUUUUUUGAGGGACCACCAUACUGUUUUCCACAGCAGCUGUACCAUUUUACAUUCCCAGUGAUAGAAGUUUUUACAGAUGGGAAUGACAUGGUCAAAACUGUGUUUAACCACUACACGGGGCUUCCUUCGUGGUGCCUGUGGACAGGAAUCUGCCUGCCAAUGCUGGGGACACAGGUUUGAUCCCUGCUGCAGGAAGAUUCCACAUGCUGCGGAGCAACUAAGCCCGUGAGCUGCCACUCCCAAAGCCCUGGACCUAGAGCCUGUGCUCCGCAAUAAGAGAAGCCGUCGCAAUGAGAAGCCCAGCGCUGCAACCAAGAGUCGCCCUGGCUCACCGCGACUGGAGAAAGCCUGCGCUCAGCAACGAAGACGCAGCAUUACCAAGACACACACACAAAAUGGCUGUCUGGCAGAGGUAACAGGACGGAGUGGGGUUUCAGAAUGACCAGUUGGAGACCUCCACACAGGACGAGAUCUAACAGGAGCCUGAGCACAUCAGUAGCAGUGAGAAUGGAGGGAGGAAGAUAGAAAUGCAGAGGUGACUGCCCACAGAGGACUGAAGCACUUGAUUGUUGACCUGCUGCUGCAGAGGUGAGGAGCAAGAGACGUGAAGGUGUAUGGUAUGACCCCCGGCUUCACCCCUGGGAGUAGGGUGGUCUCCAGAUGAAGAUUUCCGGACUUCUCCAGAGCGUGGCAAGUGGGACAUUGUGAGCUCUGGGAUGGACACUUGUUGUCUUGCCUGCUCAGUACCCUUGCCCUUUCCAAUGGUAAUGACACUGUAUUUGCAGCCCAGCUGCUGAGCCCUGAAAUCCAUGCUACACUCUGAGAUCCAUUGCCCUUCACCCCCAGGCCUCACUUCCCACAAGCUGGCCACUGACUGAGCACAGCAGGGAUUUUUGGACAGGCACCUGCCUAGGAUAAGUGACGGUCUUCUGAUGGACAACUUUGGCUCAAGGACUCCUCAGUGACCUCACAAACGUUCCUUGAAGCUGCGCUGCAAUCUAAGGUGCUUCCACCUAGGACUCCUGCCUUCUCUCUUCUUCACUUAGGGUCAGACCUGUUGAGUGGUCCUCUCCCAGUCUCUCUCAGGUCUGGCCCCCCAUUGUCUCUCACAGGUGUUUUCCGUAUUGAAUUUCUUGCAUUUAA